GCUCAGUGGUUAGAGCUCGGCUGCUAAUUGAAAGGUCGGUGGUUCGAAUCCACC
rnacentral:tRNA from 1 species